rnacentral:misc_RNA from 1 species
GCCCUCUCUCCCAUCAUAUGUUCCGAUAGAGCUACCUUGCAAAGUUGGCCCAAUAGCGAGCAUUUCGACCCCCUCCACAGCUGACAUAGCAUCCAGCUCCAGCUCCUCAAAAGUAUUUACAAGGAUAAUGAGUUUGUUGAACUUGGCGGCUGAAUGGUCCAGCUUAUCAAACAUCCCUUCAAACGAGUUUAGGACAGAAGCGUGUUUAUGCUCCGUGUUGAUAUCCGGUAGCGUGAGGAAGCUCGGGAAAUCUCUGAUUUGGAACUGUGGCAAACCCGGCAAAUUGAUUGCAGUAGAUGGGUCGUUUUUGUGUGAAUUGAUGAAGGUGGCGUAGCCGUGGAAGUAGCGGUGGUAGAGGGCGUAGACCGUGGCCGGCUGCGGCCAGAACAGGACUGAUGGGACAGCGAGGUCGUCGGCUACGUCGAUGGCCCAGGUUAGUAGUAAGGCGUAGAUAAUACAGGUGAUCGGGUGGCCUUGAUCUGCGAGGUCACGGGCUAGGGUGGUGAGGGAGCGGGAGCCAGCAGCGGCGGAGCGGGACAUGUAGUCCUUGGAACAAAUGUUCCCCUCAUCGAAGCCAUCUGAGUAGGGGAGGUAGCAGAUGACGCCGUCGUGAUGUUCCAAUUUGGUUGAGGAAGGGAACAUGCGACGAUGGGCGGAUAUGGUGGUGGAGAGGGUGACCCGGGCUCCGGUGGUACGGGCAAGGCGACGGGCUAGAUGGCGGGAGGGGUUGAUGAGGCCUUGGGUGGGGAAGAUGACUAUGAGGAAGUGGUGAUGAUCCAUCGCU